AUGGGUCUCCUACUUUCUGCUCAGUGGUAUUGUUGGGCAUUGACUGCCAUAGGCAGCUUUUCCCCGGUGGGGCACAGCAAUUCCCAUCUGCCCGCUAGGUGUGGGCCAUACUGUUUAAGGACUCCUAAAUGGGCUGUGUUGUAUAUUUGGGUUCUCCAAACACAUCCAAUUAGACAAUGGUGCUGCCUUUAUAGCCAAGAGCACUCAGCGGCCGGUAACUGCCUGAGGCGUUUGACGACAUUUCAUGCCCUGUAUCACCAACAGGUGGCAGGUGCCAAUGAAAGAUGGAAUGUACGCUUCAAGGAGAAACUAAAAGAGGUCGUGAUCUCAUGGUUCGUGGAUUCAAGCCCCGCGUUAGGCUCUGGAUCGAUGGUGUGGAGUCUGCUUGGGAUUCUCUUCCUCUCUCUCUGCCCCUCCACCCCUCAAAAAUCAAAUAAAUAAAUUAAAAAAAAAGUGGACUGAUCUACUUCUCAACUUAUAAACAGAGUGGUUCUAAGGUUGAUCCCCAGGGGCAUCUGGGACAUGGUGGUUUGGCUCCGAGUAGGGAGUCUGGCUGUGGUCUAUCCCCCAAGUGAGCCUGACCAUCCUACUGGGAGGCAAAGCUGGGUCGUGCUCAUCGAAUGUUAUCAAAUAGAAAGGACUUGGUCCAAACUCCCGUCAGUACAGUUAGCUCUCUGAUGGAGUGGCUAUGCUCCUGAAAAUAAUUCUUAACUGGACACAUGAAAGGCUGGGGUGGCAGGAAGCCUUGUUGUAGGGAAUAGCUCUGACUCAGUGUCCCAAUGACUUGCAUAGCUCCCUAUAGGCCACGAAAGUCAGGCUUGACCACAGUCCCACCCAAGUUGUGGCAGAAUGCAUUAGGAGUCCUCCUGCAACAUGCAGCCUUCGAUUCCCCCUGCAGCACGAGGACAUAAGCAGCCUGGUGAGGAGCCACCCUGCCUUGUGGGGACACUGCCACAAGGCCAUCUCUCGUCCCUCCUCCUAGGUGCAUCCUUCAAUUGGUCCCUCCCUCCAUUAGGGGGCAGCUGCAGGCCACGAAAGUGUCUGCUUGGCUCCUUAGCCACAGAGAGUCCUACCACCACAUGGCCUAUCAUCUGGUCCCUCCAGUUCCCUUUGUCCUCUGACCUGGGAAAGUGACACCAUGUUGGUCUUGCUUUUGCUGCCUGUAUGAGUAAAAAGCUGGGUUUGCAUCCAUUGGGGCUUGUGGUCUCCUUACUGGCUGAGUCUACAGAAAUGUGGCAGGCCAACCUAGUGGCUUCAGUAGUAACUCUUGUGCCCCUGUUAUAAUGCCACCAUGCUGUGCUUAGGGACUGCUUAACCUCUUGACAGAGGGGAACAUUUUGGGGAUGAUGGGAAUUUUUUUUUAAUGUUUAUUUUUGGAGAGAGACAGAGACAGAGGAUGAGUGGGUGAAGGGCAGAGAGAGAGAGAGACCCAGAAUCUGAAACAGGCUCCAGGCUCUGAGCUGUCAGCACAGAGCCCGACCUGGGGUUCAGACCCAGAACAGCAAGAUCAUGACCUAGGCCAAAGUCGGAUGCUUAACCGACUGAGCCACCCAGGCACCCCGGGGAAUGUUUUGUCUUGAUCUGGGUAGUGAUUAUACUAGUGUAUACAAUUAUCAAAACUUAUCCAGCUGUAGACUGAAGACUUGUGCCAGAAACUGUAAAUUAUACAUCAAUUAAAAAAAAAACUCAAAAAAAAAUCAUUAGAGAACAAACGAACUCUUGAAAGUUAUGAUUGCCAAAAUGAAAAAUUCAGUAGCAGGGUUGGGAGAGAAAUUUCCCAGAACACAGGGCAAAUCACAGAGACACAGGGAAUGAUGAACCUAGCCUAAGUCUAACACCUGAGAACCAGGGAUUCCGGUUCCUAAAUAAAUCUAGAAAAAUGUCUGUGGUAAUAAAAGAG
rnacentral:lncRNA from 1 species